rnacentral:tRNA from 1 species
GCCGGGAUAGCCCAGCCUGGUAGGGCGCGGGCCUUGAGAGCCCGUGGGCGUUGCCCGCCGGGGUUCAAAUCCCCGUCCCGGCGCCA